rnacentral:rRNA from 1 species
GAUGAACGCUGGCGGCGUGCCUAAUACAUGCAAGUCGAGCGAACGGACGAGAAGCUUGCUUCUCUGAUGUUAGCGGCGGACGGGUGAGUAACACGUGGAUAACCUACCUAUAAGACUGGGAUAACUUCGGGAAACCGGAGCUAAUACCGGAUAAUAUUUUGAACCGCAUGGCUCAAAAGUGAAAGACGGUCUUGCUGUCACUUAUAGAUGGAUCCGCGCUGCAUUAGCUAGUUGGUAAGGUAACGGCUUACCAAGGCAACGAUGCAUAGCCGACCUGAGAGGGUGAUCGGCCACACUGGAACUGAGACACGGUCCCGACUCCUACGGGAGGCAGCAGUAGGGAAUCUUCCGCAAUGGGCGAAAGCCUGACGGAGCAACGCCGCGUGAGUGAUGAAGGUCUUCGGAUCGUAAAACUCUGUUAUUAGGGAAGAACAUAUGUGUAAGUAACUGUGCACAUCUUGACGGUACCUAAUCAGAAAGCCACGGCUAACUACGUG